rnacentral:rRNA from 1 species
GGAGGUUACUGCUAUCGGUGUUUGCCUAAACCAUGCGAGUCAUAUGUUUUUUGUGAACAUGGCGUACUGCUCAGUAACACGUGGAUAACCUGCCCUUGGGACCGGCAUAACCCCGGGAAACUGGGGAUAAUUCCGGAUACCGCAUAUAUGCUGGAAUGCUUUAUGCGUGAAAUGGAUUUGUUUGCCCAAGGAUGGGUUUGCGGCCUAUCAGGUAGUAGUGGGUGUAAUGUACCUACUAGCCUUCGACGGGUACGGGUUGUGAGAGCAAGAGCCCGGAGAUGGAUUUUGAGACAUGAAUUCAGGCCCUUCGGGGCGCAGCAGGCGCGAAAAAUUUACAAUGCGGGAAACCGUGAUAAGGGGACACCGAGUGCCAGCAACAUUUGUUGGCUGUCCAGGUGUGUAAACUAAAAGGGUUAGCAAGGGCCGGGCAAGACCGGUGCCAGCC